CCUGGAGGAGGAGGAGGAGGGCGCACGGAGGGAGCGCGGGGGGCCGGCCUGGCACUUCUCGGGGGCCCUCCUCGCCUUUAGAGCUCGCGGGAGGGGGGCUCAUUACCCCUCCCCCGCGCGCGUGUGCUAAGCCAGCCCUGCUGGGGUGCGGUGGGGUCUGGACUUCUGCCCCAAAGGCCUGCCUGGGCCGCGCCACCCCGCCCCACGGCCCCCUCCCCCUUCCUUUUUGCCCUGAUUGCAGCUGCUGCGAGUUCCGCGGGGGUGGGACAGUGUUGGCUCUGCGAGGGGCUGCGCUCUCUCUCUCUUGCUCUCAUGGGCAGCCUGCGGGGGUGGGGAGGGGGUGUCAGCGGUGGUCAGAUGGGCCACCACGGGUCUGGCCCCACACACACUGCAUCGCUUUUUUCUUCUCCCUCAGGAUGGCCGUUUUCCCAGGAGAGGGGUCCCUGGCCUGUUUGGAUCCUGCAAUCUAGGAGACUUGUUGUCCUCGGUAUGCGCAAAGCUCUCCUCCAGCACUGCAUUUCAAAUGAGUUGAUUUUUCUCUUACCCGCCUUUUUCACUGUCCAACUUUCACAUCCAUACAUAGAGAUUGGGAAUACCAUGGCCUGAAUGAUCCUGACGUUGGUGUUCAGUGAUACGUAUUUGCAUUUGAGGACCUUUUCUAGUUCUCUCACAGCUGCCCUUCCCUUAUUUGAUCUUUAUAUGCUUCUGGGAUGUUAUUUAAAUUGUAUUUUGGCAUUAUGA